GGCGCGAUGGCAGAGUGGUCUAAUGCGUGAGACUUCAAAUCUCAUUUCUUCGGAAGCGUCGGUUCAAAUCCGGCUCGCGUCG
rnacentral:tRNA from 11 species